rnacentral:rRNA from 1 species
CAGUCGCCGCGGUAAUACGUAGGUGGCAAGCGUUGUCCGGAAUUAUUGGGCGUAAAGGGCUCGCAGGCGGUUUCUUAAGUCUGAUGUGAAAGCCCCCGGCUCAACCGGGGAGGGUCAUUGGAAACUGGGAAACUUGAGUGCAGAAGAGGAGAGUGGAAUUCCACGUGUAGCGGUGAAAUGCGUAGAGAUGUGGAGGAACACCAGUGGCGAAGGCGACUCUCUGGUCUGUAACUGACGCUGAGGAGCGAAAGCGUGGGGAGCGAACAGGAUUAGAUACCCCCGUAGUCCCUGUCUCUUAUAC